rnacentral:piRNA from 1 species
GAGCAAGAGACACCUGAACAUAAA